GAAGUGCGAUAAGCAAUGCGAAUUGCAGAAUUCCGCGAAUCAUCAGAUCUUUGAACGCAAAUGGCGCCGGAGGGAUAUCCUUUCGGCAUGUCUGUUUCAGUGUCUGAGAGGUUUCAACAAAAUCUUAAUGUGAUUGAGGGGUUAGUUGAGGUAGCAAUAUCUCUCCCGACUCUUCUCUCAUGAAAGAUGGGUGAGUGGAUCUUUCGGUCCAAUGAAGUGGUCACAUCACUCGCAUGUGAUUUCAUUGGAAAUCACCGAAUUAUUCGUAUACUCACCGUACCUACAAACCAAAAAUCUCCAUACCCUGCAUCUGAGAUAGGCAAGAUCACCCGCUGAACUUAA
rnacentral:misc_RNA from 1 species